rnacentral:rRNA from 2 species
UGGGGAAUAUUGCACAAUGGGGGAAACCCUGAUGCAGCGACGCCGCGUGAGCGAAGAAGGUUUUCGAAUCGUAAAGCUCUGUCCUAUGGGAAGAUAAUGACGGUACCAUAGGAGGAAGCCCCGGCUAACUACGUGCCAGCAGCCGCGGUAAUACGUAGGGGGCAAGCGUUGUCCGGAAUCACUGGGCGUAAAGGGUUCGCAGGCGGAAAUGCAAGUCAGUUGUGAAAGGCAGAGGCUCAACCUCUGUAAGCAAUUGAAACUGUAUUUCUUGAGAUGUGGAGAGGCAAGUGGAAUUCCUAGUGUAGCGGUGAAAUGCGUAGAUAUUAGGAAGAAUACCGGUGGCGAAGGUGACUUGCUGGACACAAACUGACGCUGAGGAACGAAAGCGUGGGUAGCAAACAGG